rnacentral:lncRNA from 1 species
GGGGGGUGUUGCUCAAACAUUAGUUUUCUAUGUUGUGUGUUGUGUACUGUUGUUUGUCUGUUGGUCUUAUUUUUUUGCCAUGGGCCCUUGUCAGUUUAUUUUCCACUUAUGAUGAGUUUCAAUGUCCCUUUGGUUUCUUUCACUCUCUUUUUGAUGUUGUUAUACAAUCAAAUUGAGAAUGAAAAUGGGGAAUGUGUCAAAGAGACAACAACCCGACCAUAGAAU